CCUACGGGAGGCAGCAGUGAGGAAUAUUGGUCAAUGGCCGGAAGGCUGAACCAGCCAAGCCGCGUGAAGGACGAAGGUGCCAAGCAUUGUAAACUUCUUUUGUCAAGGGACAAAAUCAGGCUCGAGAGCCUGUCCGAGGGUACCUGAAGAUAAAGCAUCGGCUACCUCCGUGUCAGCAGCCGCGGUAAUACGGAGGAUGCGAGCGUUAUCCGGAUUUAUUGGUUUUAAAGGGAGCGUAGGCGGAUUGUUAAGUCAGCGGUAAAAGCCCGGGGCUCAACCCCGGCGAGCCGUUGAAACUGGCUGUCUUGAGAUGUCAAGGGGUAUGCGGAAUGCGCAGUGUAGCGGUGAAAUGCUUAGAUAUAGCGCAGAACUCCGAUGGCGAAGGCAGCAUACCGGCGGCGAUCUGACGCUGAGGCACGAAAGCGUGGGUAUCGAACAGGAUUAGAUACCCUUGUAGUC
rnacentral:rRNA from 1 species